rnacentral:lncRNA from 1 species
CGUAAUCCCAUUUCACUAGUGAUGGCUGUUACUGGAUAAGCACAUGUGCAAAGCGUGGCAGAGGAUACAAGGCAGAAAGAAGCAGCACUCUGACUGUUUUCUGAAUUGUCAGUUAAAGACAAGAAGAUAAGAGUUUUGGGAGAGAAUGAGGAGGAGGCAAAACCAGCAAAUCCAGGGGGAUUGAUGGAAUGCUAGAUACCUCAUGAGAAUUCUGCAUUGUCAGAGCAUUCAUACCGAAUAUUUUAUAGAUACGUGUCCGGUUGGUUCCCCUGUUGAGGUUCUGAGUCCCUGGCUGUUACUGGUGUGUUGGAAAGCAAUGACUCCUCAGAUGUUCCUGUAUACCUUUAUCUGUCUGCCUCCAAUUACUUUAUGAGCUCAUGAAAAUGAACACAGGGCAUCUUUGACAUUCCUCUCUCUCAUUUCCUCUCCUAUUUUUUACAUAGGGCACUUUUGCCAAUAACUCUUUCCUAGUAAAACAAUGCCUCUGAAUUCAUGCUGUGUGUGUAUGUGAUUCCAUGUACCCUCCCUCCCCACCUCCCCAAAUGUUUGAGCCUGUUGGCAAAAGAAUUCAGAUCUGAAAGUGAAGUUCCUGUGAGGUUGAAAGAGAGAGGCAGAUGGGUACAUGAGAGAGCCUGUUUGUGCUAGAAGCGUCAACGUGCUACCAGCUCAGCUCACCUUUUAUCAGGCACCAGAGAGCUCCCACUGGAGCAUGCCCUUGGAAAUCAGACUUCAUCCUGUCUGUCAGUCAUGGACUAUUUGUUCAAGCUGAUGGUUUUGGAAUAAAGAUGGGAAGGCGGGGUUGAAAAGCUGGAGC